GGCAUGCUGUCGCUACCAGAGGUGGAGCGAGUGCCCAUCCUCGACGCAGGCCUCCCCACCGCGACUGGAAGUAAGAGUACAUUGUACCAUUAGCAAUAUAUCCAGUCGUGAGGUCAGUUCUCCUGUCUACGACAUGCAGACAUAUAACAAACUUGCUACUCAAAUCUCCCUCCCUCCAUCUUACAUAGCUCCUGAGGUAAAAGUUAAAAUCCAUCCAUACUUGCUUCUUUUUUCUAUUGUUUACUGUUAGUCGUGACUUGUUCUCCACCAUCUAUUAAUGAAAAAAAUGAUAGGACACUGGUAAAAUUAGUGGAACAAUUUGGACCGAGGAAGUGGUCUUACAUAGCACAACUGCUGCCAACAAGAGUGGGGAAGCGAUGCAGAGAAAGAUGGCACAACCAUUUGAGGCCAAACAUCAAGUAAUAUUUGGAAUGGUCAUAAGUCAAACUAGACUUCCCUAGCGACAGUGAUUCAACGAAUAAGAACUAGGCCAGCAGUUAUGUAGUGCAGAGAUCUACUCCCAGUCCCGGGAACCAGCUUCCAGUGCCUCUUGUACCGAUCAUCGACAAGGGAGUGCUAGAGGAGGAGGUUAUGGUGAGUUUUGUCACGACUAAUGGUGAGCCCACGACUAUGGCCACGUCAAAGCUGGUCUGGUGGAACCUCGGGGAGCAGAUGAUGAUGACGCCGACAUCAUGCACCUCUGCUGCGACGCUGCCGACCAGGAGACGGGCCCCUCCGUCGCGCGCGCUCUACAAGUCUGGAUCCAUCAUCGUGCUCGGCAAGACUGACUUCCUUAGGCCAGACAUGGAUCUCGUACCCAGAUGGACAGCCAUAAAGAGAAGGCACAUGACAUUAAGUCCAUGCUCCAAUGAGCCUCAACAUGCGGUGGGUAUGACAGUGCCAGGCAUUAUAUUAAGAAGACAUUCUCACGCCUCAGCCGCUGGCGCUGCCUCCUCCAUCGACGCCUCGACGGCUCUGGUUGUGCAGCGGAUCAAGAUGGCGCUCAGGAUGGUCGAGCGCUGCUGCAUCGCCGUGUCGUCCCUAUCGGUGCCUCAACUAUUGGCGUUGCCUUCUCCGAUGGCUCUGGUCGUGCAUGCGGCCACCGGUGUUUCACAAGGAUGAACCAGAUUAUUGAUAAGUUGAUAGAUUUUGAAGUUGAUGGCUUGAUGUCGAACCAAGUGGUGUGUGGUGUUGUCUAUCAAGUGACCAAGAUCAAGUAUUUAAGUGUGAAGCUGCUGUGCAAGUGAAGCGUUGCUGGCGCUUGUGCAAGUGAAGUGUUGCUAGCGCCUUGUUGUCUGGUGCCACCUUAACCUGUUGGCUCUAUAUUAGUCAUGGGUGUUGCCUGUUCCUGUCCGCAAGUUGUAACACCCUGAAUUUGGGGUAUAAUUUUUUAUUUUCUAAUAUCCACCAAAUUCAGGUGUUA